CAGCCGCCACGGUAAUACGAAGGGGGCUAGCGUUGUUCGGAUUUACUGGGCGUAAAGCGCACGUAGGCGGAUCGAUCAGUCAGGGGUGAAAUCCCAAGGCUCAACCUUGGAACUGCCUUUGAUACUGGAAGUCUUGAGUUCGGGAGAGGUGAGUGGAACUGCGAGUGUAGAGGUGAAAUUCGUAGAUAUUCGCAAGAACACCAGUGGCGAAGGCGGCUCACUGGCCCGAUACUGACGCUGAGGUGCGAAAGCGUGGGGAGCAAACAGGAUUAGAUACCCCUGUAGUCCCUGUCCUUAUACC
rnacentral:rRNA from 1 species